UCGAUUAUUCGCGCCGACAUUGACCCGGCGGGAUAGCUUUCGACUGCAACUAUGUCACGACAACCCGCCCAGGAGGCGGGUUUC
rnacentral:sRNA from 1 species